AGCGAACGCUGGCGGCAGGCCUAACACAUGCAAGUCGAACGAGCCUUUCGGGUUUAUUGGGGGACGGGUGAGUAACACGUGGGAACGUGCCUUUAGGUUCGGAAUAACUCAGGGAAACUUGUGCUAAUACCGAAUGUGGCUUUCGGGGGGAAGAUUAAUCGCGUCUAGAGCGGGCCGCGGUUGAUUAGCUAGUUGGUUGGGGUAAUGGCCCGCCUAGGCUCCGGGCAGUGGCUGUUCUGGGAGGAUGAUCGGCCAACUUGGGACUGAGACACGGCCCAAACUCCUACGGGAGGCAGGGGUGGGGACUAUUGCGGCAUGGGCGAAAGCCUGACGCAGCCAUGCCGCGUGAAUGAUGAAGGUCUUAGGAUUGUAAAAUUCUUUCACCGGGGACGAUAAUGACGGUACCCGGAGAAGAAGCCCCGGCUAACUACGUG
rnacentral:rRNA from 1 species